GCCAGGAUGGUCUCGAUCUCCUGACCUCGUGAUCUGCCCAUCUUGGCCUCCCAAAGUGCUGGGAUUACAGGUGUGAGCUACCAUGCCCCGCAGCUUGUGCUAAACUUUUAAACGUAUUUCCUUGACUACCUCAGCUUCCUUCUCCUCCACUCAGCCUUCUCUGCGAAUUGCUUUAUAUGGACAAAACUGGAACCAGCAGCAACCUUCCCAGCUGCCCCAGCCCCACCACCAGACCUUUGUGUGACAACAGUCCCCGGGGUCUUGGGUCUGGAUUGUUGACAUUCUAAUCUUAUUGGUUCUCUGCAAUGCUUGCUUUCUUUGGGUUAUUUCUCUCUUUUCCACCCUCCCCUCCUUAGGACACAGACACUCUUUCUUCAGAUCCCUCCCCACUUAUAGCCCCCUCCCCUCCUCCUCACCUGUUGGCCCUCUGCCCCGGCAGCCUGCUUCCCCAGGGAAUCCAUACACAAGGGCCUGCCUCCCUUCCGAGCACUCCUCCCCUUCUGCACAGUCUUCCUCUCUUCUCAUCCUCUAUCUUCUGCCACCUUGUUCUCUGUGCCCAGGCCCUCUCGUGAUCUCAUUCGCCACAGAUACACCCUGCUGCCUAGCUCCCGCCCGCAGGCAUCAUUUGAUCGAUGGGUUUGAGGUUUGUUGACAGUUGGGGUUUUUCUCUCUCAGUGAGGAAGAAGCAAGAAACCUCAACACUGCAAUUUCCUCAACUCCCAGUGAUGGUGACAAAUUCUGAGGCCCCAGGGCGGGGGCUGUGUUUGUGUCUUCACACGCCCUGUGGAGUGUUGUCCUCACAGUGGUAAAGAAAUAAGGAGGUGAAAAGACAUUUGCAAGCUGACUGCCCUCAAGGAGCUGUGCACACCUUCUUCACCCACCAUGAGGCUUAGCAAAGGGUCACACCCAGGAACUGAAGCUCUCCCUGUGUCUCCAGGGGUGGGAAGGCGGUGUCUGUGGUUAUCCACCUCCAUUCAGAGCCAAGAAACAAGGAUCCCGACAUCGCAAGCUAUUCCAGGUGAAGCUAAAAAGAAGAUAAUCCCCAAGUCUCUGGGUAAAGAAACUCUCUGCCACCCUCAAUCAAAUCAAAGCCAAACUCCCUGAUGUCGGUAGUGAAGGGGAAGGUCCCCCCAAGGGUGGGGUGGAGUGAGGUGUGGCUUUCCUUACCCCUUGGUGGUACCAGUGAGACAAGGGAGAAAUCUCUAGGGAAAGGUGAGCCUUGGAGGGCAAAACACAGCCAAGAGAUCGAACCACUUUUCCCAUGUGGAGAGUCUCCUGCCAGCCAGAGCCAAUCUCAGGAAAUAUGAGUUCGAUUUUAUUAAGGAAACCAACACGUUUCCUUCUGUCUAAUGUAGGCUCUGUGUUAUUCACAUUGUCGGCUCCCAGGAUGUGAAAUGUUAUCCUAGUACAGAACCCAGAAAAGCAUGGACUGAAUGUCUCUUUAGAGAGCUUUAGCCAACUAUUUAAAAAAGUGGAGUCUACCUUCCUAACAGAGUUAAUAAUCACAUGCCUUGAUAGGGAGCAGCAGUAAUAGUUGAGGCAAUAAUAACAGUUGACUUUUUCUUUUAGCAGUUGCAAUAUAAGAUUCAUAACUAUCCUGUUAAGAUGGUAUUAUUUACAGUCAUCACUCAGUAUCUUUCUGGAUUGGCUCCAGGACCCCCUUGGAUACCAAAAUCCACGGAUACUUGAAUUUCUGAAAUAAAAUGGUGUAGUAUUUGCAUAUAACCUAGGCACAUCCUUCCAUAUACUUUUUUGUUUGUUUGUUUGUA